rfam:Schizosaccharomyces japonicus yFS275 unplaced genomic scaffold supercont5.3, whole genome shotgun sequence.
GGCCUCGUGGCCUAGAAGUAAGGCGUUGGUUUCCGGUGAAGCCCUCUCAUCGCAAAGGGCUCAGGUUCGCCAAAGAUCGCGGGUGCAAAUCCCGUCGGGGUCG